GAUGAACGCUGGCGGCGUGCCUAAUACAUGCAAGUAGAACGCUGAAGGAAGGAGCUUGCUCUUUCCGGAUGAGUUGCGAACGGGUGAGUAACGCGUAGGUAACCUGCCUGGUAGCGGGGGAUAACUAUUGGAAACGAUAGCUAAUACCGCAUAACAGUAGAUGUUGCAUGAUAUCUACUUAAAAGGUGCAAUUGCACCACUACCAGAUGGACCUGCGUUGUAUUAGCUAGUUGGUGAGGUAACGGCUCACCAAGGCGACGAUACAUAGCCGACCUGAGAGGGUGAUCGGCCACACUGGGACUGAGACACGGCCCAGACUCCUACGGGAGGCAGCAGUAGGGAAUCUUCGGCAAUGGACGGAAGUCUGACCGAGCAACGCCGCGUGAGUGAAGAAGGUUGUCGGAUCGUAAAGCUCUGUUGUAAGAGAAGAGCGAGUGUGAGAGUGGAAAGUUCACACUGUGACGGUAUCUUACCAGAAAGGGACGGCUAACUACGUG
rnacentral:rRNA from 1 species